rnacentral:rRNA from 1 species
UACGUAGGUGGCAAGCGUUGUCCGGAUUUACUGGGCGUAAAGAGCGCGCAGGCGGUCGUUCAAGUCGCGUGUGAAAGCCCCCGGCUCAACUGGGGAGGGUCACGCGAUACUGAUCGACUCGAAGGCAGGAGAGGGUAGUGGAAUUCCCGGUGUAGUGGUGAAAUGCGUAGAUAUCGGGAGGAACACCAGUGGCGAAAGCGGCUUCCUGGUCCAGCACCGACGUUCAGGCACGAAAGCGUGGGGAGCAAACAGG